ensembl:lncRNA
UUUUUUUUUUUUUUUUUUUUUUUUUUUUUUGCAGCUUCUCUAUAGCAAGUUUAUUAUAAAAAUACAAUCUCAUCUCAAAUUAGCUUUCAGAUUCAGCUGUGGAGCAGAGAUCUUCUGCCUUAAUAAAAGACAGUUGAGGUUGAAUCUAUUUAAGUUGCAGUUAUGUCAGAACACAGAAAGUGGUACAUUAGGUUCAUUAGCUCAUGUGGGGGAAAAAAAGUGGUUAAAGCUGUUCCAUAAAACAAGACAGUUCAAAUGUGAGAUAAAAGUGAUGAAAUGAUACAAGUCAGACACUAAAAUACGGUACCGCAGUGGGUAUUGCUUUUAGAAGUUGACAGUGAUGUGUGAUAACUCAAGACCGUUUCAUACAAUGAUUGUUGUGUGUGUGUGUGUGUGUGUGUGUGUGUGUGUGUGUGUGUGUGUGGCUUUGGACCCUUGUGUAAGGAUUUCUAGUUAAUUUAUUGACUUUUAUUCUUUAUUUCACUCAGCUCUAUACUCUAUAAUCAUCAGACACAAAACUGUCAAACAGUUGGAUUUUAGGCCGCUAUGAACCCAAAGCUUAUGAAGAAGACAGAGGACAAGCAGUGGUGGGGGUGGGGGCAACUGGACUGAUUAUAAGCCGGGGGCGAGCUGAAUGUCUUUACCAUUUUUAACACCAUCUGCACAAAGUUUAAAAAUCUACUUAUAUGGAGUUCCCGUCGUGGCGCAGUGGUUAACGAAUCCGACUAGGAACCAUGAAGUUGUGGGUUCGAUCCCUGGCCUCGCUCGGUGGGUUAAGGAUCCAGAGUUGCUGUGAGCUGUGGUAUAGGUUGCAGACGCAGCUUGGGGCCCGAGUUGCUGUGGCUGUGGCUUAGGCUGGGGGCUACAGCUCUGAUUAGACCCCUAGCCUGGGCACCUCCAUAUGCCGUGGGAGUGGCCCUAGAAAAGGUAGAAAGACAAAAAAAAAAAAAAAAAAUCUACUUAUGUCCAUUUGCAAUGCACCAGGCGUCAGAAAUACAUCCAUUCAUACAAAUAUUUUGCCCUCUCGGUGCUUGGAGAUGUCAGAGAGUUCAGCAGUGAUGGCAAAUCUAGCUGCUGAUAAAUGACAGAGAUGUUAAUCUCAUUCCAGUAUUUUCCUUUCUAAGUUAAAAAUAAUUUUGCCACCCCUCCUAGUACGUGUUUAGGUGAUUCGUCUUAUAAUGUGUAAUAGGUGAUAAAUUCAGAACUGAACUUGGUCUCCAAAAUAAGCAACGUUGCCCAUGACAUUAUGGAAUGAAAACACACACGCGUCUUGGUCUCGCCUGCUCUGAGUCUUCCACCGCCUGGCAACGUGAGCAGUGUACACGGUGAGACGUGAGACGCUUGUGUGGAAAUCACGCCACACGAAAACUGUGACUCAGGUCUGUUCUCAGAAGAACUGAGGUAAUGGCUAUUAAUAUUUUAUUUCAUACAUUAUAGUGUUUGCAGAAGCAAACACUGUAGUUAAGGUUACGUGCAUUGACGCUUGGUUUUGCUUUAGGCCAGGCUUUCUUUCCACAGAUGCAUUCAACCUAAAGGUGGAUUUUCAGAGCCUUAAAAUAAUGAAUGAAAGAACAAGAAAGAAAAUUUGGGACCAGUUAAGUAAACGAUUAUAGUUACACAGACUGUGAAAAAUAUGGUAUUUGUUAUACUUAGAAAAUAGCAUGGGAUGUUUUCUUUCUCUUGCUUGUUGUUAUCCCACUACCAAGUGAAACUGGUGAACAGCAAAGUGACACAACCAAAGUGGCUGAAACUUUCCUUAAAAGUAUCCCUUUGCGGGAGUUCCCGUCGUGGCACAGCAGAAACAAAUCCGACUAGGAACCAUGAGGUUGCGGGUUCAAUCCCUGGCCUCGCUCGGUGGGUUAAGGAUCCUGCGUGGCUGUGAGCUGUGUGUGGUGUAGGUCUCAGACUCGGCUCAGAUCCCUCGUGGCUGUGGGUGUGGUAUAGGCUGGCAGCUGUCGCUCCGAUUAGACUCCUAGCCUGGGAACCUCUAUAUGCCUCAGGUGCUGCCCUAAAAAAAAAAGUAUCUCUUUGAGGAAUUCCCGUCAUGGCUCAGGGGUGAUGAACCUGACUAGCAUCCAUGAGGAUGUGGUUCGAUCCCUGGCCUUGCUCAAUGGGUUAAGGAUCCGACAUGGCUGUGAGCUGUGGUGUAGGUCUCAGAUGCGGCUCAGAUCCCUUGUUGCUGUGGCUGUGGUGUAGGCUGGCGGGUGUAGCUCUGAUUUGACCCCUAGCCUGGGAACCUCCAUAUUCUGCAGGUGCGUCCACUAAAAGACAAAAAAAAAAAAAAAGAAAGAAAGAAAAAAGAAAAAAGAUACCCCUUUGUUAGCAGAAGAAAAGGCCAAGUCUUACCCCUGUACACACCUUAGUAAGCAGCUACUGGUAUUUGGUGUCAUCACUACCUCAGAAGCAUUUGUGAGUGUGGCUACAGAGGGUGGCAUACACAGAUUUCUGCCCUCAGUCGCUGUGAGCUUCUGGCUUUGACUGAGUCACCAGUUUCAGGCAAGGCGUCUCCUUUGGUCCUGCUAUGACUGGGAUUUUGUAAAACAGUUUUGAAUAAACUGUCUGGCGGAUUUCGGUGUGACGUGACUUCGCCAUGGCACAUGGGCAGCUCCCACAGGGUGGCAUGAACUAGGUAGGUCUUUAGUUUUUCAUAUGUGGGCAGAGGGGCAGGCCUCUAAGGUGCCUUUUGGAGGGAGUGGGCAGGCAUGCCUGAGCCCAUCUCACACCUUCCCCCACCUCACUGUUAACUCCACUGUCUCUCCACCCCAGUCCCUAUACAGCCUGUGCACCCCAUUCUGCACCGACCUUGGCCUGCACAUGUCACUGCCCAGAUGUGCGCUUCUUCCAACCCCCCACCCACCCCAGCCCCUCCUGGACUAAUCCUUCCCCUUGAUCGUGCUCCUAGUCCUUUCGCCUCUCCUCCUCACCUCCAGUCCUCAGAAUGAACCUGUUCUUCCCGGAGCCCUUCCUGGCAGCUGGAACUGAAUAUGGCUCGCGGGUUCACCUUGUGCCUAGUGGCUGUGAAACAAUGUGCUUUCUCCACUGGCCCCUGGGACCUUGUCAGACU